rnacentral:rRNA from 1 species
AAGGAAUAGACGGGGACCCGCACAAGCGGUGGAGCAUGUGGUUUAAUUCGAAGAUACACGAAGAACCUUACCUAGGCUUGACAUUGAGAGAAUCCGCUAGAAAUAGUGGAGUGUCUGGCUUGCCAGACCUUGAAAACAGGUGCUGCACGGCUGUCGUCAGCUCGUGUCGUGAGAUGUUGGGUUAAGUCCCGCAACGAGCGCAACCCCCUUUCUUAGUUGCUAACAGGUCAUGCUGAGAACUCUAAGGAUACUGCCUCCGUAAGGAGGAGGAAGGUGGGGACGACGUCAAGUCAUCAUGGUCCUUACGCCUAGGGCUACACACGUGCUACAAUGGGGUGCACAAAGAGAAGCAAUACUGCGAAGUGGAGCCAAUCUUCAAAACACCUCUCAGUUCGGAUUGUAGGCUGCAACUCGCCUGCAUGAAGCUGGAAUCGCUAGUAAUCGCAAAUCAGCCAUGUUGCGGUGAAUACGUUCCCGGGUCUUGUACUCACCGCCCGUCACACCAUGGGAGUUGUGUUUGCCUUAAGUCAGGAUGCUAAAUUGGCUACUGCCCACGGCACACACAGCGACUGGGGUGAAGUCGUAACAAGGUAACCGUAGGUGAACCUGCGGUUGGAUCACCUCCUUUCUAGA